GACGAACGCUGGCGGCGUGCUUAGCACAUGCAAGUCGUACGGUAAGGCCCUUUCGGGGGUACACGAGUGGCGAACGGGUGAGUAACACGUGAGUAACCUGCCCACAACUUUGGGAUAACGCUAGGAAACUGGUGCUAAUACUGGAUAUGUGCUCCUGCUGCAUGGUGGGGGUUGGAAAGCUCCGGCGGUUGUGGAUGGACUCGCGGCCUAUCAGCUUGUUGGUGGGGUAGUGGCCUACCAAGGCGGCGACGGGUAGCCGGCCUGAGAGGGUGACCGGCCACAUUGGGACUGAGAUACGGCCCAGACUCCUACGGGAGGCAGCAGUGGGGAAUAUUGCACAAUGGGCGCAAGCCUGAUGCAGCAACGCCGCGGGCGGGAUGACGGCCUUCGGGUUGUAAACCGCUUUCAGCAGGGACGAAGCUUUUUGUGACGGUACCUGCAGAAGAAGCACCGGCUAACUACGUG
rnacentral:rRNA from 1 species